rnacentral:lncRNA from 1 species
CAUGGAGAUGAUCCUCGCAUUUUGAAUGGAUGGUUAGAUCGAUAAUGCUCAAAUUAAGAUAUUCUAUCCAUGCAGCUGAUAUCUAUGGUAUUUUUUCAAAAGAGUAUGAUGUCAUUGUUGAUAAAAGUUAUUUAAGCUACUACUAUUCAAGUAGGACUGUCAACGAGUUGAACACGAGCGAGUUGAGGCCAACUCAUGUUCAGUUCAUUUACUAAACAUGCAAAACACGCCUACCUCGUAAAAUAUCGAGCUGAAAAUUUAUGCUUGUGUUCGGCUUCGCGAACGAUAAGUUAGAUCAUCGAUCAAUCCUACUACAUAUAUUAGGUGAAAAGUUGAAAGAGAAUUAAAAAAAUGGAAUCUUAUUCUAAUAAUUAAAAUUCAAAUUUGAGUUGGCCUACAAUUCAAACAGUAAAAUAGUAUUGAUUUAAAGGCCAAUAGCGAGAGGAUUGAUUUAAAGAUAAAAAGGUUAGAAGUAAAAAAAAGGAGUAAUACAACUAUAUAUAUUGAGCCGAACACACGAAUAAGCUGAUUUCAGCUCGUGUGCAGCUCGUUAAGAUUUCAAGCUGAAAAAUUUAGUUCACGUUCGGAUCGUUUAUUAAACAAGCGAUCGAUGUCAAGCUGAUCAUUUCGAGUUGAAUAUAAGUUGACUCGUAAACAAUAAGCUAGAUUGCCAGUCUUAUAUUCAAGUGGCGAUUAAUCUUAUCCUUGUAGUAUUAUU